rnacentral:ncRNA from 1 species
CUAAAGUGAUUCUUGACCCAUACGCAUCAAUAUCAUAGGGCUGUUAACGAAGUAAUUUGUUAACGACAACCUGUCAAAUUCGGGGGAGCCUAAAAUAGCGUUUAUUCGCUACGAUGGUAAUCCCGAGCCAAGUCCCCCGCAUUAUAUGACUGGGGAAAGGUGUAGAGACUAGACGGCAGGGUCCCGCUAUUCGGGAUAAGGUAUAGUCCAGAUUACAAACCCGAAAGGGGUCG